rnacentral:rRNA from 1 species
AGCGGUAGGCUUAACACAUGCAAGUCGAGGGGUAACAUUGGUGCUUGCACCAGAUGACGACCGGCGCACGGGUGAGUAACGCGUAUGCAACCUGCCUGUAACUGGAGGAUAGCCCUUGGAAACGAGGAUUAAUACUGCGUAACAUUAUUGAAUCGCAUGGUUUAAUAAUCAAAUCUACGGAGGUUACAGAUGGGCAUGCGUGCCAUUAGUUAGAUGGUGAGGUAACGGCUCACCAUGACAUCGAUGGCUAGGGGUUCUGCAAGGAAGAUCCCCCACACUGGUACUGAGACACGGACCAGACUCCUACGGGAGGCAGCAGUGAGGAAUAUUGGUCAAUGGAGGCAACUCUGAACCAGCCAAGCCGCGUGAAGGAAGACUGUUCUAUGAAUUGUAAACUUCUUUUGUGGUAGAGUAAAUAUAGCUACGUGUAGUUAUUUGCAAGUAUACCAUGAAUAAGCAUCGGCUAACUCCGUGCCAGCAGCCGCGGUAAUACGGAGGAUGCAGGCGUUAUCCGGAUUUAUUAGGUUUAAAGGGUGUCUAGGCUGCCACAUAAGUCAGGGGUGAAAGUCGGUUGCUCGACAAUCGAAUUGCCUUUGAAACUGUGUGGCUCGAGUAUAGAUGAGGUAGGCGGAAUGUGUAGUGUAGCGGUGAAAUGCAUAGAUAUUGCACAGAACCCCAAUUGCGAAGGCAGCUUACCAAACUAUUACUGACGCUGAAGCACGAAAGCGUGGGUAGCGAACAGGAUUAGAUACCCUGGUAGUCCACGCCGUAAACUAUGCUCACUCGCUGUUGGCAAUAGAUCGUCAGCGGCUAAGGGAAACCGAUAAGUGAGCCACCUGGGGAGUACGAUCGCAAGAUUGAAACUCAAAGGAAUUGACGGGGGCCCGCACAAGCGGAGGAACAUGUGGUUUAAUUCGAUGAUACGCGAGGAACCUUACCUGGGCUUAAAUGUAGAGUGCAUAAAGUGGAAACAUUUUUUUCCUUCGGGACUCUUUACAAGGUGCUGCAUGGUUGUCGUCAGCUCGUGCCGUGAGGUGUCGGGUUAAGUCCCAUAACGAGCGCAACCCCUAUCGUUAGUUACCAGCACGUAGUGGUGGGGACUCUAGCGAAACUGCCGGUGUAAACCGCGAG